GAUGAACGCUGGCGGCGUGCCUAAUACAUGCAAGUCGAGCGAACAGACGAGGAGCUUGCUCCUCUGACGUUAGCGGCGGACGGGUGAGUAACACGUGGAUAACCUACCAUUAGAAUUGGGUAACUUCCGGAAACCCGGACUAAUACCGGGUAAUAUAUUUAACCGCCUGGGUCCAUUGUGAAAAGACGGUUUGCUGUCCCUUAUUAGUGGAUCCGCGCCGCAUUUGCUAGUUGGUAAGGUAACGGCUUACCAAGGCAACGAUGCGUAGCCGACCUGAGAGGGUGAUCGGCCACACUGGAACUGAGACACGGUCCAGACUCCUACGGGAGGCAGCAGUAGGGAAUCUUCCGCAAUGGGCGAAAGCCUGACGGAGCAACGCCGCGUGAGUGAUGAAGGUCUUCGGAUCGUAAAACUCUGUUAUUAGGGAAGAACAAAUGUGUAAGUAACUAUGCACGUCUUGACGGUACCUAAUCAGAAAGCCACGGCUAACUACGUG
rnacentral:rRNA from 1 species